UGAGCCACACACACGCCAAAAGAGAGGU
rnacentral:piRNA from 1 species